rnacentral:rRNA from 1 species
GACGAACGCUGGCGGCGUGGAUUAGGCAUGCAAGUCGAACGGUAGGAUACCUUCGGGUAUCUGAGAGUGGCGAACGGGUGAGUAACACGUAGGUGAUCUACCCUCAAGAUUGGGACAACCCAGGGAAACUUGGGCUAAUACCGGAUGAAAGCAGCAGUGAUGUUGUUUGAAAGGUGGCGUAAGCUGCCGUUUGGGGAUGAGCCUGCGCUCUAUUAGUUAGUUGGCGGGGUAAAGGCCCACCAAGGCGAUGAUAGAUAGGCGGCCUUAACGGGUGGUCGCCCACACUGGGAUUGAGAUACGGCCCAGACUCCUACGGGAGGCAGCAGUCGAGAAUAGUCUACAAUGGCCGAAAGGCUGAUAGUGCGACGCCGCGUGAACGAAGAAGCCUUCGGGUGUAAAGUCUUUAUAUGUGAGCAGUGCUUUCUAUGUGAACAGCAUGGGGAGAGAGAUAUUAGCAUAUGAAUAAGCAACGGCUAACUCCGUGCCAGC